rnacentral:rRNA from 1 species
GACAGAGGAUGCAAGCGUUAUCCGGAAUGAUUGGGCGUAAAGCGUCUGUAGGUGGCUUUUUAAGUCCGCCGUCAAAUCCCAGGGCUCAACCCUGGACAGGCGGUGGAAACUACCAAGCUGGAGUACGGUAGGGGCAGAGGGAAUUUCCGGUGGAGCGGUGAAAUGCGUAGAGAUGUGGAGGAACACCGAUGGCGAAGGCAGCCCCCUGGGCCAAUACUGACGCUCAUGCACGAAAGCGUGGGGAGCAAACAGG